CCCUUUUUCUCACCACCGUCUACAGUUCACCAAAAAAAAAACUCACCUUCUGCUCCUCCCCGCCUUCUCCUUCCUCAUCUCGUUCUGUCACGCCGUGCACACUUCCGGAACCGGUGCCGGAACUCUUGCUUUGCUAAUCGUGGGUUUCCAGGAGCAAAAGUUGUUGCGUCCGCCUACUCCAUAUGAGGUGUAUUACAAAGGCCAUGCUAAAGAGAAUGGUGAAUUCGUGGACGAGACGUCACGAAAAUUUUGGGCUGAUUUUCAAAGCAAGAAAUCUACCAACUUGGAGGACGAGAAUCCUAAAACAAAGAACGAGUUGUUUUUGGAAGCCUUAGGUGGAUGGAAGAAUAGCAGAGUGUAUGGUCUUGGAAAUACAACUGACAACUUUUAUGUGAAACCAAACAACGACCCAAGUUUGAAGAAAGUGCGGAAUGAGCUAGUGACUAAUUUGACAAGUAAUGUUGAAUAACUCUCUUCGAAAAAUUUGGAACAAGGAAAGGAGAUUGAAGAAACAAAGGUAGUCCUAGUUGAAACAACAACGAAGCUCAGUGAAACAGAAAAAAAGCUUGACGAAACAACAAAAUAGCUUAAAGAAACAACAUAUGCUAUGAAGGCUAUGCAAGCUCAGAUUCUUUUCCUAACUGAAAAUGUCAUUUUGCGCUAAUCUUGAAUGCUGAUUAUCAGAAGAAAUUUCUUUGCUUUGUGUUAUUUUUCGCUUGUUGAUUGAAAUGCAUUUGUACAAUUAGUUUAGCGUAGAGUUUUUUUUUUUUUCUAGUGAAAGCAGGUAAACAACUCUUAUAUUUAGGGGAUUACAGGUUAUAUAUUGCAUAUAUAUGCAAUUUUGUUGGGAUGAAACUUCUUUUGUAGGGUUUGAAUUGAUUUUUUAAUGAAAGUUUUUAU